rnacentral:rRNA from 1 species
GUAGGGCGCAAGCGUUGUCCGGAAUUAUUGGGCGUAAAGAGCUCGUAGGCGGCUUGUCACGUCGGUUGUGAAAGCCCGGGGCUUAACCCCGGGUCUGCAGUCGAUACGGGCAGGCUAGAGUUCGGUAGGGGAGAUCGGAAUUCCUGGUGUAGCGGUGAAAUGCGCAGAUAUCAGGAGGAACACCGGUGGCGAAGGCGGAUCUCUGGGCCGAUACUGACGCUGAGGAGCGAAAGCGUGGGGAGCGAACAGGAUUAGAUACCCUGGUAGUCCACGCCGUAAACGGUGGGCACUAGGUGUGGGCAACAUUCCACGUUGUCCGUGCCGCAGCUAACGCAUUAAGUGCCCCGCCU